CUGAUGAUGACAGUGUUGAUGAAGGUGAUGUGAAUGUUAGUAAUGAUGAAGUAGGUGGAAUUAUUGCUGGUGGUAGUGGUGAAGAUGGUGAGAAUUGAUGAGGUGAACUUGAAGAAGAGAAGUAUGAUGAAAAUGGUUGUGGUGGUGGUGAUGAUGAAAAUAGUGGGAAUGAUGAGUAUAACGUUGAGGAUGGUGAAGAGGAUGAGGAUUCUGUUGUUGAUAGAAUUGAAGAUGUUAUUGUUGAUGAUGAUGUUAACGUUGUUGGUGAAGAUGGUGGGGAUGAUGAUGAGCGCUGUGAAUUUGCUGAUGAUGGUAAUGAUGAGGACAAUGAUGUAGAGGUUACUGAUGAUGAGGGCUGUUUUAAUUGGGUUGAUGAUGAUAGUGGGACUGAUGAGGAUGAGACUGAGGAUGAUGAAGUUGGAGAAGUUGAUAGUAUUGAAGAUGGUGGUGUUGAUGAUAAAGGUGAUUGUAAAGUUGGUGAUGAAGAAGGUCUAGAUGAUAAUGUUGCAGAUGAUGAUGACACAGUAGUGGGACUGAUGGAUUGCAGCUGAGGAUGUUGAAGAUGAUGAGUUUUGUGUAGGUGACAGUAUUAAAGAUGUUGAUGAUAACGGUGUUGUUGAAGAAGGUAGGGAUGGUGAUGAAGGCUGUGAGAUUGCUGAUGAUGUUAAUGAUGAG
ensembl:lncRNA